UUUCCGUAGGUGAACCUGCGGAAGGAUCACUACAGAGUUCAUGCCCUCACGGGUAGAUCUCCCACCCUUGAAUAUUUAUACCUUAGUUGCCUUGGCAGGCCGUGGAAACACCAUGGGCUCCGGCUUAUGCGUGCCUGCCAGAGGAAACAAACUCUGUUUUUAGCGAUGUCUGAGUACUAUAUAAUAGUUAAAACUUUCAACAACGGAUCUCUUGGUUCUG
rnacentral:misc_RNA from 1 species